rnacentral:rRNA from 1 species
CAGUAGCCGCGGUAAAACGUAGGGUGCGAGCGUUAAUCGGAAUUACUGGGCGUAAAGCGUGCGCAGGCGGUUUUGUAAGACAGGCGUGAGAUCCCCGGGCUCAACCUGGGAAUGGCGCUUGUGACUGCAAAGCUAGAGUGCGGCAGAGGGGGAUGGAAUUCCGCGUGUAGCAGUGAAGUGCGUAGAUAUGCGGAGGAACACCGAUGGCGAAGGCAAUCCCCUGGGCCUGCACUGACGCUCAUGCACGAAAGCGUGGGGAGCAAACAGGACUAGAUACCCGCGUAGUCCCUGUCUCUUAUAA